rnacentral:rRNA from 1 species
GACGACGCUGGCGGCGUGCCUAAUACAUGCAAGUAGGACGAGUUGCGAACGGGUGAGUAACGCGUGGUAACCUACCUCUUAGAGGGGGAUAACUACUGGAAACGGUAGCUAAUACCGCAUACCAUCGGUUGUGCCCAGAUGGGAUUAGCUAGUAGGGGGGUUAACGGCUCACUUAGGCGCCGCUCCCUAGCUGGUCUGAGAGGAUGACCAGCCACACUGGAACUGAGACACGGUCCAGACUCCGACGGGAGGCAGCAGUGGGGAAUAUUUCACAAUGGGCGCAAGCCUGAUGCAGCCAUGCCGCGUGUAUGAAGAAGGCCUUCGGGUUGUAAAGUACUUUCAGCGAGGAGGCGUUACUCGCAGAAGAAGCACCGGCUAACUCCGUGCCAGCAGCCGCGGUAAUUC